rnacentral:rRNA from 1 species
CCGUCUUGAAACACGGACCAAGGAGUCUAGCAUGUGCGCGAGUCAUUGAGAACCGAUAAACUCAGAGGCGCAAUGAAAGUGAAAGCGACUAACGGCACUCGUGCCGCAGCCGCGAAGGGAAGAUGCGCGAGCGGCUUCAAUGCGCUGCUCCGCCGCAUUCCCGAGGCGUUUCGAGAAAGCCUCCGUGCGAUUAUCGAAACGCACUGAGAGCGUACACGCUGGGACCCGAAAGAUGGUGAACUAUGCCUGGUCAGGUCGAAGUCAGG